rnacentral:rRNA from 1 species
CCUACGGGAGGCAGCAGUGAGGAAUAUUGGUCAAUGGACGAGAGUCUGAACCAGCCACGUAGCGUGAAGGAUGACUGCCCUAUGGGUUGUAAACUUCUUUUAUAUGGGAAUAAAACGUUCCACGUGUGGGAUUUUGUAUGUACCAUAUGAAUAUGGAUCGGCUAACUCCGUGCCAGCAGCCGCGGUAAUACGGAGGAUCCGAGCGUUAUCCGGAUUUAUUGGGUUUAAAGGGAGCGUAGGUGGAUUGUUAAGUCAGUUGUGAAAGUUUGCGGCUCAACCGUAAAAUUGCAGUUGAAACUGGCAGUCUUGAGUACAGUAGAGGUGGGCGGAAUUCGAGGUGUAGCGGUGAAAUGCGUAGAUAUCACGAAGAACUCGGAUUGCGAAGGCAGUUCACUGGACUGCAACUGACACUGAGGCUCGAAAGUGUGGGUAUCAAACAGGAUUAGAUACCCGGGUAGUC